CCUACGGGUGGCAGCAGUGGGGAAUAUUGCACAAUGGGGGAAACCCUGAUGCAGCAACGCCGCGUGAGCGAUGAAGGAUUUCGGUAUGUAAAGCUCUAUCAGCAGGGAAGAAAAUGACGGUACCUAACGAAUAAGCACCGGCUAACUACGUGCCAGCAGCCGCGGUAAUACGGAGGGGGCAAGCGUUACCCGGAUUUACUGGGUGUAAAGGGAGCGUAGGCGGGUGAGCAAGUCAGAUGUGAAAGCCCGGGGCUCAACCACAGGACUGCAUUUGGAACUGUGUGUCUGGAGUGUGGGAGAGGCAGGCGGAAUUCUUGGUGUAGCGGUAAAAUGCGUAGAGAUCAGGAGGAAUACUAGUGGCGAAGGCGGCCUGCUGGAACAUGACUGACGUUGAGGCGCGAAAGCGUGGGGAGCAAACAGGAUUAGAUACCCGUGUAGUC
rnacentral:rRNA from 1 species